rnacentral:rRNA from 1 species
GAUGAACGCUAGCGGGAGGCUUAAUACAUGCAAGUCGAGCGGCAAGGUCUUCGGACCCUAGAGCGGCGCACGGGUGAGUAACGCGUACGCAAUCUGCCCUUCAGUGAGGAAUAGCCCUGGGAAACUGGGAUUAAUACCUCAUAAUAUUAGAGUAUCGCAUGGUACUUUAAUUAAAGUUCUGUCGCUGAAGGACGAGCGUGCGUAUGAUUAGCUAGUUGGUAGGGUAACGGCCUACCAAGGCGAUGAUCAGUAGGGGAACUGAGAGGUUGAUCCCCCACACUGGCACUGAGAUACGGGCCAGACUCCUACGGGAGGCAGCAGUAGGGAAUAUUGGUCAAUGGAUGGAAGUCUGAACCAGCCAUGCCGCGUGCAGGAAGAAGGCCUUCUGGGUUGUAAACUGCUUUUGUCAGGGGAUAAAAAGCCCAUGCGUGGGAAAUUGCAGGUACCUGAUGAAUAAGCCACGGCUAACUACGUGCCAGCAGCCGCCGUAAAAC